UAUAAAAGAAGGCGUUUUCAUGCAGCUCUCACACACUUUCUGAAGCUCCAUCUGGAUUUUAUAUUACAAAGCUUAAAAAAAGUUGUAAAGCGAAAGAUGAAGAUUGUCCUAUUCGUUCUUGUUUGUAUUCAUGUCAUUCUUGCGUCCGAGCGUCGUUCACAAUAUUGUGGAUCGAAAUACAUCAGAACUUGCAAUCCCGACCCUCCUUUUACGUGUUAUUGGGACUGUGAUGAAUGUUUGAACUACUAUUCUCAAUGCCAAGGGGACCCUAGCUUCAUCGCUUGCAAAAAGCGCUGCACGCAGGUCGACAAGCCGGCGUAUCCGAAAAUCAUCUAAGUAUGAAGAAAUUGAGAAAUUAAGAGUUGGGGCUGCAUCAGUGAGCAUUUAAUGUAUAAUUAUCAGUGUAGCUAUAUAAUAUAGAUGAGUAGCAAUAAAAAUAAAAAUGAUUGCUGCAAUAUAUAAUAGUCUAUCAAUAAUUACGU